GCAGCCUUGGCUUUGGAGGCGAAGGCGAGGGUCUCUCUGAGAGGAAAAGGGCGCCAAGCAGCCGUGGGAAGUUUUGCAGCUGUUGCAGGGCUGCCCUCGGAGGGGAGGCUUCCCCCUCAGCCUUCACUCAAGGGUCGCCUAUGGCUUUCUUUCUUUAAACCUGGGAGGGGACCAAGGUGUACUUGGUGGUCCCCCUCCUCUUCCUCCUCCAAAGCCUUCAGAGGCUGCCCACUUGGUCCUCCUCCUUUCCCUCUCCAGGGUGGCAGCUGUUGCCCCUUUUCCUUGGAAGUGGAGUUAUAACCUCUGUUCUUCUUGAAAUGGGGAGGGGGAGUUGUUGUUGUUGUUUUGUUUUUAUCCAGGGCGGGAAAUGACUUGGGAAAAGGCAGCUUAAAGCCCAGCUUCCACACCGACCUCCUCCUGGACGCCUCUCAGGGCUUUGGAGGUGCCUUUGCUCCUUCCCAAAUUGACACAGACUGGGCAGGGAAGGCACCUUUUCAACGGGGGGUUAAAUAAAAAAAAGGCGAUCUCUACAUUAUGAUGAUGAUGAUGAUGAUUAUAAUAAUAUCCAAAUGCAUCUGAGGAAGUAGACCAAAGUUGAGGAAAGCUCCUGCUGCCCCUUGUCUUUCUUUCCAAUGGGGUGGUGCCUUUGUUUCUUCCCCAAUUGACACAUACUUUGUAGGGAAGGGAUUAAACAGAGAAAGAAGAGAAAGGUGAGGCUCUUUUUUGGGGGGUGUCGUUGGUUCCCAAUGCAUCUCUUCUGUCAGAGGCAGCAGGGGGAAAGCCCACCAUCCCUCCUUGGCACCUGGAGGAGGGGGCUUGCCUCUCCGAGGCUGAAGAUGCUGCCAGGUGGAUGUUGAUGCCCAAACCUAAGGAGGGUUUUGGAAGAAGAUGUUCCUCUUUGGGAUUACAUGGGGCCCAAGGCGGUCGUUCCGGGGGAGAGUUGGCUGGUGAGACUUACCUGAACCUCUGUUGUGUUACUGCGGUUGCGAUUGUGGUUUCUGGGGACUUUGUGGUUUCAAUGGCUCCAUCUCCCACCAGAAGAAGAAGCAGCGGGAAAGAGGCAAGUGCUCUGCCAAGCGCCUCCUCAACUUUCUGGGCAAUGAUGAUCUUGGUUGGCCUCCUCAUCGCCUACUGCAGUCAAUUGGCUGCAGGUACAUGUGAAAUUGUUACAUUGGACAGAGAUAGCAGUCAACCCCGAAGAACUAUAGCCCGACAAACAGCUCGUUGUGCAUGUAAAAAAGGACAGAUUGCUGGUACAACGAGAGCAAGGCCAGCCUGCGUCGAUGCACGCAUUAUAAAAACAAAACAAUGGUGUGAAAUGCUUCCAUGUUUAGAAGGAGAAGGCUGUGAUUUGCUAAUCAAUAAAUCAGGCUGGACCUGUACACAACCAGGUGGGCGAAUAAAGACAACUACGCCUGUCUGAGGCCAUGUGGGUUGGAGUCUGACCACUAGUCGGAAAGGAAAAGACUGUUUGCAAGAGUUCUGGGGUGUGUUUUCCUGGAAAAGGUCUCCUGACAAAUGCAACAACAGAGAAGCCUUGUAGGAGUUUUUAGGCUCUGUGUGGGCUACAUUCCCUAGUCGAGUUUCACUGCUGUGGAUCAUCAUCCAUUAUAUGUCAUCGGUUCAACUGUCUACUUCUCUGUGUUUCAUCAAAGACAGCAUAAUUCUACAUUCUGAGCUAAAGUCUGUUCUACCAUACUAAAGAGCACUGGACUAAGCAAUCAAGAUGUAAGAGAAAUGCUUGGGCAUUAGCAAUACAAAAUUAAAAACAAACACAUUCACAGUUAACGUCUCAUCUGCGUUAUGUGCCACUACUGGACUUGAUCUGUGGUGAUGUUUUAAUCUGAAGAGUCAACUCCACUAGAGAGUACUCAUCCCAAUCAGCCUUAGAGAAGACUGUUUUGUCUAUGGGAGGACACUGAGGUGCAGAGGACAAUUUCUUCUCAUGCCCUAGACUGCCUGAAUUGCUUUUAUUUUCUUAUGUUUCAGUAUAUACAAUAGACCAAAGAGCAAAAUUUAUUUUAAAGUGGACACAAUGUUACUGUUAACAAGGUUAUUUGAGUCCAGCAGUAUGGGGACCACCAUGCACGAAAUCCGCUCACCCAGUGCUGCAACAUCACUGUCCAGCAAAUGUCUUUAUGGAACACUGCAGAAAAAGUUGGAACUGCUCUUGGAGAAAAGUACACUACAAAACACAAGGGAACUAGGAGAGACAACAACCAUUCUUCAGCAAGAAAACAGAACUUUGACUGAAAACAACACAAACUGUCUACGUACCACCUCUACUCCUCUGUGCUUAGAUUGACUUCUUGUACUAAAAUCAUUUUGAGUUUAACCAGUUCGACAUGCCUCUUCUAUGGUUCCAUUAUUUUUUUGAUCGUUAAAAGUUGGAUAAUACAGUAUUUGCAAAGAGCAUGUUUGGUCAUCUGUGGCCUAUGUCUCAUCUGACCCACCAUUUAGCACCAGAAAGCAAACCCAAGGGGGGGAGAGUAACACUUGUUUGAAAGAGAUCAUUAAAUGUAUUUUGAAAAGCCUAAAGUUAUAUAUUUAACAGUUUUUAUAUGUUGUAUAUUUGUAGAAAAUCCUAUUUAACAAUUAACGUGGUAACUCUGACAGUCAUGACACAAAUGGUUCAGAGUUGAGUUGUUGUUUUUAUUACUUCAGUUGUCUCUGAAGUGACUGGUGUAAUUUGCUUUCUUCCAUUGGGACAUUCUGGAUGUAAAGCAUGACCAGAGAGGACUCUGUAGAAAAAGCAAAGAAUAAUGUUGUUUAUAUUACAUAAAUGCAUUCAACCAUUGCACUGUUGGAAGGCUUUCUCUCUCUCUCCCUCUCUUUCUCCAACUAUUUUUGUUCUUUUUCUUCUUCUUUUUCUCUGAGGGGUGGUAGAUUUUAUAUACCGGUAAAACAAUAUACACUCUGUUAAUUAUUUACUUUCCAUAUUGAAUUCUGUUCUUCUUCCUCUCCUUUCCCCUCAUUCUGAAUUUGGUAUAAAGGUAAGCUUACUCCUUGAUCAACAUGUAGGUGGCUAUAUGUUUUGUUUUGUUUUAAGACCUCAUACAUUAGAAAGCCCUCUUGCUCAAUAUAAUACGGUAGUGAAAAGUUAAAGAUGAGUUCUGCAUAAGAAACAAGAAAAGGGAAAAUGUUAGAUCAGGAACCUCCAGUGUGGGACCCCUUUUGCAUACAAGUCUGGCUGAUAGUGAUAUGAGACCAACAAAUGGGCUUUUCUUCUUCCCCUCGAAAAUAUUUGCCAAUAUUAAACUUUUUCCCAAUGUCCACUGUAGUAUACUACCUAAAUACUCCAGUUAACUUUUAGUAUUAUGCUAGUUCUAUGCUACUAAAGAAAAAUAUAUAGGGUUUGUUCAAGCAACCAUAGAUGAGAAGUAUGAAAAGGAAGUUCAUUUAUUUAAGACCUAUCCCAAUUUUCAGGAUUAUUUUAAUGCACAGGUUGAGGAAACCAUGAAUUAUAGGUGACAGUGUCUAUGAAUAAAACAUUUGCGUAGAUGAUCUUAUUUCAUCAUAAGAUAUUUGAUCAGUGUCCAAGUAGCAAUUAAAGCCCAGCCACUUGAAAAGUAUUAUGAACUGCCUGCAGUAUAAAUGACCAAUGUCUGAUUUAAGGUGUCAUGCAAUAAAUGAUGGAAGAUACUUCACCUGUAUUAUAAGAAUUGGAAAGCCAGAUCCCUCACUCCACUGAGUUUUUCUCUUUUGUUAUGGUUUUAUUUUAUUUUACUGAAGGGAGUGUAGUAGCCUUAUUUAGUAAAUACUGAAAAAAAAUCAAAAUGUUUCAACAUUUUUGUUGCUUUACAGUAUUCAGUUUUGUGUUGGUUCAGCUAAAUUAUGAAAAAAAUAAAGAAAAUCCUUUUAUAAGUGAGACUUGU